UACGAAGGGGGCGAGCGUUGUUCGGAAUUACUGGGCGUAAAGCGUGCGCAGGCGGUUUGCUAAGACAGGUGUGAAAUCCCCGGGCUUAACCUGGGAACUGCGCUUGUUACUGGCAAGCUGGAGUGUGGCAGAGGGGGGUGGAAUUCCACGUGUAGCAGUGAAAUGCGUAGAGAUGUGGAGGAACACCGAUGGCGAAGGCAGCCCCCUGGGCUAACACUGACGCUCAUGCACGAAAGCGUGGGGAGCAAACAGG
rnacentral:rRNA from 1 species